GUUAAUGGCAGGAGCGGGAGCUUCAGGGCGUCACUUUUGCAGCAGCCAAUUGCGUGGCUGGACUGCCGAGGAAUGCUGUGGAAUGGGAGAGCUGGAAAAUUAGAGUAAUGAUCACCCAGCAGGGAAACAAGAGUGAAAGCCUAAUAAUGAUUUUGGAAGAAGAACCAGCCAUGCAUGUCUGUGUGUUUAUGACAAUGCCACACAGCCAGGUCAAUCAAGAUGUGGAUGGAGGACCAACAGAUCAAGACCCUGUCAUAGCCAGCCCAAUCUCCAGACCUGAAGCCCUUUGAAAACAUCUGGAAUGUAAUCAAGAGGAUGGAUGUUCACAAGUAAUCAAACGAAGCUGAGCUGCUUAAGUUUUUUUUCGCCAGGAGUGGCAUAAAGUCAUCCAACAGCAAUGUGAAAGCCUGGCAAGCAUGGAGAGCAUGCCAAGGCCCAUUAAAGCUGUGAUUGAAAA